AAAGUACUCCCUCCGUUGCAAAUUACUUGUCUUGGAUUUGUCUAGAAAAUGAGUCUAGAUACAUCCGUAUUUAGACAAAUCCAAAACAAGUAAUUCGAAACGGAGGGAGUACAAU
rfam:Triticum aestivum genome assembly, contig: Triticum_aestivum_CS42_TGACv1_scaffold_374458_5AL